CUCAUUGCAUGUUACAUUUGAGAUGUUUUUGUUCAAUUCUUAAUUGCAUGUAUGUGCGUAAGGAGAAGCAAGUCAGGAUUAUUCGUAUUUUAUCAGCUGUUUAUCGAAUCAAUUGCUUAAUUAUAUGAGCUAUUGAUUACUGUGAAUUGUGAUAAUUGUAAUUUGUUUUGGUUUGUUUGUAUGAGCUAUCGAUUCGCUGUUCGACUAUUGAUUACUGUGAAGCAAGUUAGGAAUGAAUGCAGUUUAUGUUAUGCUAUUGAUGAUUGAUCUGGUUGAAUUUGUAUAUGUAUUUGGCUAAUGAUUUAAGAAUGAAUGGCUGAAAUUUCUGUUUUCCUAAUUAAUCUUAUACUUCAUACUUUAAAGUAAGAGAUCUGGUUGAAUUUGUAUAUGUAUUUGAAAUUAGACAAACACUUGCUAUUGAAAUUCUAGCUGUUCAGACAAUAGACAAUUUGUAAUAGUUGCUGUCGCUGGCUACUGUUUUUUGGGAGCUAUAUAUAGAGUGAGAGGGUGGGGGUGGAGGUUUGGCUUCUACUUGAAUGCAGUACUCUCUGAUUUCUUUUCGACAAAAGCUUCAGACCUUUUGCUUGAGCUUAAAUUGGACUUCAGUUUGUAAGUGGUUGAAUUGCUGCAUGUUGCUAUCAAGUUAGGUGAUAAUAAUUUCUGCAUGAUAAUUAUUUCUAACUAUCAAGUUAGGUAAUAUUUUAGCUUGCUGCAUGUUGCUAUAAAAGUAUUUUCAGUGACAGAUGUUUGCUUUUGUAGGUGAUUAGUUUCUGUCAAUUUGUAUUUCUGCUUCAUUAGACUAUUGGUCAACUUAUAUAUGUUGCUAUAAUGUUGGAUUUUAUUCCACCCAUCCCUUGUGUCAACUUAUAUAUUGUUUUAUGUAGUAUAGAAUGGAUAAUGGUAGGAGUUGGAUGCAUGUUCAAGGGUUGAAAGGUAGGCUUCAACCAAGUUACCGAAAUGGUGUUAAAUACUUUCUUGAUUUUGCUUUCAAGGACACUAACCCUAAUUCUGGGGAUAAGAAGAGGUGUCCUUGUUUGAAUUGUCGAAAUUACUUUGAUCAUGACUGGGCAACAAUGCGUGUUAAUCUCCUUCGAGUGGGAAUAGAUCCUGAUUAAAAUCCAUGGGUACUCCAUGGAGAGGAACAAUCCUUUGACAUCGAUUGAGUUAUAUGAUGAAGAUCCUCUUGUAUCAGAAGAGAUGGCUUCUUUGGUACAUGAUGCGACAAAUGUAGUGCCGGAGAAGCAUUUGCAUGAUGGGGAUGGAGAUUAUUCUGAGAUUCCCGAUCAAUUUUAUAGAUUGAUGAAAGAUGCAGAAGAAGAGCUAUUUUCGGGUUGUAAAACAUUUUCAAGGCUUUAAUUCAUUGUAACUCUCUUACACCUUAAGGUUAGUGGGGGUUGGAGCGAGAAAUCAUUUAGUGAGCUCCUUAGUGCAUUACAAAAGGCCUUUAAUUAUGAUCCAAACUUUCCAAAAAGCUCUUAUGAAGCCAAGAAGUACACAAAAGACCUUGGGUUGAAUUUUGUGAAGAUUCAUGCUUGUGUCAAUCAUUGCAUACUUUAUAGAAAUAGUAUGAAAAAUGCUGAUUCAUGCCCUAUUUGUAAGGAGUCAAGAUGGAAGGAAGGUAGCGGUGAAUUUGAUGAUAGUGUUACCUUCUCGGAAUCUUAAGGGGCCUCACAAAGAAUGCCUAAAGUACCUCGUAUGGUUCUUCGCCAUUUUCCUUUAGUGCCAAGGCUUCAAAGGAUUUUCAUGUCAUCGAAAAUUGCAAAGCACAUGCGAUGGCAUAAAGAGAGGCAGCAACUUGAUGACAACAUAUUAAGGCACCCAUCCGAUUCAAUGGCAUGGAAGAAGCUUGAUGAAUCAUUUCCGGAGUUUGCAAUCGAUCCACGUAAUGUGAGAUUAAGUCUUUCGACUGAUGGUUUCAAUCCCGGUGGACAUUUUGGCGCUAAUUACAGCAUUUGGCCAGUGUUUUUGGUGCCAUACAAUCUUCCACCAUGGAUGUGCAUGACAAGUCCAUACAUCAUGUUGUCAUUCCUAAUUCCCGGUCCCAAGUCUCCUGAAAUGGAUAUUGAUGUGUUCUGAGAACCAUUUAUUGAUGAACUUCAAGAAUUAUGGGAAGUUGGGGUGAAAACUUAUGAUUCACAUAGUCACCAAAACUUUACAAUGAAGGCAGCCCUAUUGUGGACAAUGAGUGAUUUUCCAGCUUAUGGAAAUUUGUGUGGUUGGAGUACUUGUGGUAAACUUGCUUGUCCGUCAUGUCACAAAGAUACCUCACACAAGAGAUUGAAGCAUGGAAAGAAAGAAUUCUUUGAUGCUACUCGUAGAUUCUUGGAUCCUGAUCAUAGAUGGAGAAUGGAUUGAAAAUCUUUCAAUGGAGAAACAAAAAGACGACCACCUCCUGUACCUUUGUCGGGGGGAUGAGAUAGUAGAAGCAUUUGAUGGUGUUCCGAAUGUGAUAUUUGGGAAGAAGAGAAAUAGAACCAAAGGAUACUUUUUUGACCAAUGGAAGAAGUUUAGUACCUUCUUUAGACUCCCUUAUUGGAGUAAGCUUUUGAUAAGGCAUAACUUAGAUGUGAUGCAUAUUGAAAAAAAUACUUGUGAUAGUAUAUUAGGAACUGUACUUGAUAUUCCUAAUAAGACAAAGGACACUUUGAAAUUACGAAAGGAUUUGUUGAAGAUGAACAUGCAUGAGAAAUUGAGGCCUAUCAAGAUAGGUGAUAAAUAUGCCAUUCCUAGAGCUCCUUAUCAAUUGACAUCGCUUGAGAGGCGUAGAGUAUCGGAGUGGUUGUCCAAGGUUAAAGUGCCAGAUGGUGACUCUUCUAACAUAGCUCGAUGUGCAAGUUUAGAAGAUGGAAAAAUCUCGAACAUGAAGAGCCAUGAUUGUCAUGUUUUUAUGCAAGAUUUGCUUACACCGGCAUUUCAAGGCAUUUUCUGAUCAUUAGUGUGCUGUAAAAGGUUCAUAUCCCUAAAAAUUUAAAUAUCCUUGUAGUUAAAGUAUGAAUUGGGUGAAGGUUCACACAUUCGCAAAGCAAUAAAGAUUCAAUGCUCAACCCUUUAUAGGCUUUGGAGAGAAAGGUUGAAGGCUGACUAUUUUUCAAAUCGCAAAUCUUUAUUAGAGGCGGAGCGUGCUUGCCCACCUUCAAUAAAACUUGACCAAUGGAAGUGGCUUUUUUAUGACUAUUGGAGCUCUCCUAAACAAAAGGAAAGGAGUGAGAAGAAUCGGGCAAAUGCUCUUGCAAAGAAGAUUAAGUCGGCAUGUGGUGUGAAAUCAAUAGCUCGCAUAAUUUAUGAAUUGGAACUUGAGGCACAAGCUUGUGAAAAUGAGAAUGAGGACAUUGAAAUUAAUGAGGAUCCCAUGUAUUUGAAGUUAUGGUAGAAGUCAAAGAGGCACAAAAAUGGGAAGUUUGACGAUGAGGCCGAGGAGAAGUUCAAGGAAUUAAGGGAGUUGCAUGAGAAUGAAAUUGGUGAAAAGGGGGUUGAUAAUCUUACUCUUGAAGAAGCUUAUGUGAAGGUUCUUGGACAUUGUUCAGGUUAUGCCCGAGGUUUAGGCAAAGGGCACCCGGUGUUGUCUAAAGAUGGAAAGAUAGGAAGAGCUGAGCUAGAACAUAAUUUCGAACAACUACAAAAUGAAAAUAAUAUGACGCGGCUGAGUUGGAAGCGUCUAAGAAGAAACAAGAAGACCUAGAACAAAAGCUUCGGUUAGUCAUGGAGAGGAUGGCCUUGAUGUUUGAUAGAGGAAGGAAGAAAUCUGGAGAAGGGUACAAGAUCAAGGAAGUAAGAUGCUGGUAGAAGGAACAUAGAAAAUCUAAGAAAUUGCAUACAUUAUUAAAUUUUAGUACUCUUUGGCUUAGUUAUAUUUGCUAUUUAGGAAAACUUGGUUAAUACUUUUGUAUAUAUAAUGACAAAUUAGAAUUUAUGCCUAUUAACACCUUUUUUCUUCCUAAAUGUAAUCCCUCCUAGAAUUUUUUUUUUUUUAAAAACUAAAAAUUGAACAAAGAGGGCGACUUUGAUUUUUCCCUUUAAAAUUUGAUUAAACAGGGCGAAUUUUGAGCAAGGAGGGCGAUAUGAAUUGACUUGUUUGAGUUGUUUAUAGAGGGCAAAAAAACUUAUCGUCUGGCUUGAUUCAAUCAAAGAGGGCGAAAAAUUUGUCUUCUUUGAUUUUGAACAAAGAGGGCGAAAUUUUUUGCCUUCUUUGAUAUUUAACGAAGAGGGCGAAAGAUUGUAGUUGCCCUUUGAAGCUAAUAGGGCGACUUGGGGGCGAUUUUAAAAUCGCCCUCUUUGCCUAAUAGGGCGAAAUUUGAAUCUAAGAGGGCGAUUUAAAUCGUCCUCUUUGAUAUAAUAUCUUGUAGUGCAUUAAGGGUUAACCAUAUCAUUCUUUUCACCAUUUUUGGUUAGGGUUUUCGUUUAGUUCGGCGGCUAAUAUGGUAGUGAAAGUGGUGUUCACGAUCUACUACAAUGGAGGAGCAGUAAAACAAGAAGAAAAGGGAGUAUGAAGAAGUUGGAGGAUGAAGAAGAUGGAGGAGGAGGAAGAAGUUAGAGGAGGAA